rnacentral:rRNA from 1 species
UGGAAGUAAAAAUCGUAACAAGGUUUCCGUAGGUGAACCUGCGGAAGGAUCAUUACCGAGUGCGGGCCCCUCGGGGCCCAACCUCCCACCCGUGUUGCCCGAACCUAUGUUGCCUCGGCGGGCCCCGCGCCCGCCGACGGCCCCCCUGAACGCUGUCUGAAGUUGCAGUCUGAGACCUAUAACGAAAUUAGUUAAAACUUUCAACAACGGAUCUCUUGGUUCCGGCAUCGAUGAAGAACGCAGCGAAAUGCGAUAACUAAUGUGAAUUGCAGAAUUCAGUGAAUCAUCGAGUCUUUGAACGCACAUUGCGCCCUCUGGUAUUCCGGAGGGCAUGCCUGUCCGAGCGUCAUUGCUGCCCUCAAGCCCGGCUUGUGUGUUGGGCCCCGUCCCCCCCGCCGGGGGGACGGGCCCGAAAGGCAGCGGCGGCACCGCGUCCGGUCCUCGAGCGUAUGGGGCUUCGUCACCCGCUCUAGUAGGCCCGGCCGGCGCCAGCCGACCCCCAACCUUUAAUUAUCUCAGGUUGACCUCGAUCAGGUACGGUGA